AACGAACGCUGGCGGCAGGCCUAACACAUGCAAGUCGAACGCAUCGCAAGAUGAGUGGCGCACGGGUGAGUAACACGUGGGAAUGUAUCCUUUGGUUCGGAAUAACGUCUGGAAACGGACGCUAAUACCGGAUGAGCCCUUAGGGGGAAAGAUUUAUCGCCGAAGGAGCAGCCCGCGUCUGAUUAGGUAGUUGGUGGGGUAAAGGCCUACCAAGCCGACGAUCAGUAGCUGGUCUGAGAGGAUGAUCAGCCACACUGGGACUGAGACACGGCCCAGACUCCUACGGGAGGCAGCAGUGGGGAAUAUUGGACAAUGGGCGCAAGCCUGAUCCAGCCAUGCCGCGUGAGUGAUGAAGGCCUUCGGGUUGUAAAGCUCUUUCGCACACGACGAUGAUGACGGUAGUGUGAGAAGAAGCCCCGGCUAACUUCGUGCCAGCCGCCGCAGUAA
rnacentral:rRNA from 1 species